rnacentral:rRNA from 1 species
UGAGGAAUAUUGGUCAAUGGGGGCAACCCUGAACCAGCCAAGUCGCGUGAAGGAUGAAGGACUUAUGGAUUGUAAACUUCUUUUAUACAGGAAUAAAUUGGGGGACGUGUCCCCUUUUGCAUGUACUGUAUGAAUAAGGAUCGGCUAACUCCGUGCCAGCAGCCGCGGUAAUACGGAGGAUCCGAGCGUUAUCCGGAUUUAUUGGGUUUAAAGGGUGCGCAGGCGGGAUGUUAAGUCGGCGGUGAAAUUUUGCAGCUCAACUGUAAAAGUGCCUUCGAUACUGGCUUCCUUGAGUGUGGAUGAAGUAGGCGGAAUUUGUGGUGUAGCGGUGAAAUGCUUAGAUAUCACGAGGAACUCCGAUUCCGCAGGCAGCUUACUAAGCCACAACUGACGCUCAUGCACGAAGGCGUGGGGAUCAAACA